rnacentral:tRNA from 4 species
GGGCUCGUAGCUCAGUGGAUAGAGCGCCGGACUACGAAUCCGUAGGUCGCAGGUUCAAAUCCUGCCGGGCCCACCA